rnacentral:rRNA from 1 species
UACAGAGGGUGCAAGCGUUGUUCGGAAUUACUGGGCGUAAAGGGCGCGUAGGCGGCCUGUUAAGUCGAACGUGAAAUCCCUGGGCUCAACCCAGGAACUGCGUCCGAUACUGGCAGGCUUGAAUUCGGGAGAGGGAUGCGGAAUUCCAGGUGUAGCGGUGAAAUGCGUAGAUAUCUGGAGGAAUACCGGUGGCGAAGGCGGCAUCCUGGACCGAGAUUGACGCUGAACGGCGAAAGCUAGGGGAGCAAACGGG